rnacentral:rRNA from 1 species
GAUGAACGCUGGCGGCGUGCCUAAUACAUGCAAGUCGAGCGAACAGAUAAGGAGCUUGCUCCUUUGACGUUAGCGGCGGACGGGUGAGUAACACGUGGAUAACCUACCUAUAAGACUGGGAUAACUUCGGGAAACCGGAGCUAAUACCGGAUAACAUAUUGAACCGCAUGGUUCAAUAGUGAAAGGCGGCUUUGCUGUCACUUAUAGAUGGAUCCGCGCCGUAUUAGCUAGUUGGUAAGGUAACGGCUUACCAAGGCAACGAUACGUAGCCGACCUGAGAGGGUGAUCGGCCACACUGGAACUGAGACACGGUCCAGACUCCUACGGGAGGCAGCAGUAGGGAAUCUUCCGCAAUGGGCGAAAGCCUGACGGAGCAACGCCGCGUGAGUGAUGAAGGUCUUCGGAUCGUAAAACUCUGUUAUAAGGGAAGAACAAAUGUGUAAGUAACUGUGCACAUCUUGACGGUACCUGAUCAGAAAGCCACGGCUAACUACGUG